rnacentral:siRNA from 1 species
CAAAUGAUAUUGGUUUCCAUUGUG